AAUGUAUGUUGGCCUAUAAUGAAUUUGAUCCAAAGAGAGCCGCUUAAAAAAUAACGCUAAAACAACAAUAAUUAUACACAUAUCAGAGUUCGGAAAAAAAUAAUUGAUAAGUAAUAUAUUUUAUUGCUCUUGAGAAUCCAUAUCGGUUGUAUUUACCGUUAUUCUAAUGUACAUUAUAGUUAAAAAAAUGUGUUCGCAUAAAGUAUAAAAUUUGUUAGACGACAACGUUUUAUUAUUUGAAAUGUUAAAAUAAUUAAAAAAGGUUUCUUUUUUUGCAAUGUUUAAAUAAUUGUAACGAAUAGGUACCUGGUUAUAUCAAGUGCAGUAUAAUAAAUUACAACGCACAAGUAUACACAAGUUUAAU